UACGGAGGGUGCAAGCGUUAUCCGGAUUCACUGGGUUUAAAGGGUGCGUAGGAGGGCAGGUAAGUCAGUGGUGAAAUCCCCCGAGCUUAACUUGGGAACUGCCGUUGAUACUAUCUGUCUUGAAUAUCGUGGAGGUGAGCGGAAUAUGUCAUGUAGCGGUGAAAUGCUUAGAUAUGACAUAGAACACCAAUUGCGAAGGCAGCUCGCUACACGAAUAUUGACUCUGAGGCACGAAAGCGUGGGGAUCAAACAGG
rnacentral:rRNA from 1 species